UUUAUGUUUUUGAUUUCCUGGCGUGGGUAUUGGCAGGAAUUAAUUGAAACUUUAGCAUGGGCUCAUGAGCGCACACCUUUAGCAAAUUUGAUUCGAUGGAGAGAUAAGCCAGUGGCCCUUUCCAUUGUGCAAGCAAGAUUGGUUGGAUUGGCCCAUUUUUCUGUAGGUUAUAUAUUCACUUAUGCCGCUUUCUUGAUUGCCUCUACAUCAGCAAAAUUUGGUUAAUUUAGUUAUUUAUUUUAUUUAUGUGCUGUAUCGGCAAGAAUUUCAUUCCUUUUCUUUCGAUGGAUAAGGGGAUCCCCCUUCUUAUAUUUCUACAUCUAGGAUCCGAACUAUAUUAUUGAUAAUAAAAUAAUAGGAACUGAACAUUAUGGCAAGAAAAAGUUUGAUUCAGAGGGAGAGGAAGAGACAGAAAUUGGAGCAGAAAUAUCAUUUGAUUCGUCGAUCCUUAAAAAAAGAAAUAAGCAAAAUUCCGUCGUUGAGUGAAAAAUGGGAAAUUCAUGGAAAAUUGCAAUCCCUACCGCGUAAUAGUGCACCCACACGUCUCCAUCGACGUUGUUUUUUGACCGGAAGACCUAGAGGUAACUAUCGAGACUUUGGACUAUCCGGACACAUACUUCGAGAGAUGGUUAAUACAUGUUUGUUACCGGGCGCUACAAGGUCCAGUUGGUAAGGAUAAAAAUACCGUUUACUAUGUUUUGUAUGGAUCUCUAUGAUCUAUGAUCAUGGAGGGGCCCCUCUUUACCAUUCUGUAUAAAUGGACUAUUCUAAUUAUAUAGAUAUGGUAGAGGGGCAUAUCUCAUUUUUGUCCAAUAGUUCUUAGUUCUUCAGCGCGGAGUAGAGCAGUUUGGUAGCUCGCAAGGCUCAUAACCUUGAGGUCACGGGUUCAAAUCCUGUCUCCGCAACGCAACAUAUAUAUAUAUUUUUUCAAAUCAAAAUAUAUACAAAAUAUAUAUAUCUAUUUUUUUUUUUUUAUUUUAGGUGUGAUUCCAUUAUCUAGUCAUUAAUAACCUUUUUGUUUUUGGAUGGUAGGUAAAGAAACAGAACGCUAGAACUACGACACUCUCGUAGUAAACUAUACCAAAUUAGUUAUCAUAGUACAUUACUUCACCACAGGCGGAUAGCGGGAAUCGAACCCGCGUCUUCUCCUUGGCAAGGAGAAAUUUUACCAUUCAACCAUAUCCGCAUUUUUGAUACGCACACAUAUGUCCACACAUAUAUGACAUAUAUGAUAUAUCAUAUAUGCGUCUGGAUCAUAUUUGUGCAGGACCUGAUACUAUCUCUUUCUUCAGGAAGAUUCCGAUUCCAAUAAACCGAUACGAUAAAAUAAGUUAUAAAAAAUAAAUGAUAUCAAUGAUAUGAUUCAUAUUAAUCAAAUUAAAUAAAAUAAAACAAAAGAAAUGGAUUUAUUUGUUUUGGAACUCAAAAAUCUAUUUCAAAAUACGAAUUUAUUAGAAGGAGCGGCUUUUUUUGCAUCGGAGAAAUGCCGAAGAAAAAGUUCAAGAGAUAAGAGAAUUAAGGAUAGCUACCAAAAGACUAAUCCAAUCCAUAAUGAUGUACCAGAAAAUACAACAUUUUUGUUACUUGACCAACCAUCAGAAGAAGCAAAUACAACAGGUACACUAAUCAGUAAGAUUGAUGAAGUCGCAAUUAACGCAAAAACAGCCAAUUGGAAAGCAAUAGUCAUCCUUGUAAUCCUCCAAGCUACCAACAAAUAAACUAUACCAUUUGAUCCCUUGCUUAGUUAAAGUUGUGAUAAAAUGCAUCAUGGCGGGAUUUAACCAUGAAUCAAUUGAUUCUUUAAAACUUAUUACCACUUUAUCAUUUUAUUUAGUUUAGUAUGUAUGUUACAAACAAACAGAUAGACUAGAUCCUGCAUAUACCUAUCAGUAUACAGAUAGAUACAUACAGAUGGAUACAUAUAUAGAUCCCAUCUAGGAUGGUACUAUAAAUGGGUAGUGUAUCAACUCAUAUGGCCAUGUUCUAUUUGUAGGAAUAAAAUAGAAAUUGUCUUUUGGAGAGAUGGCCGAGUGGUUGAUAGCUCCGGUCUUGAAAACCGGUAUAGUUCUANNNNNNNNNNNNNNNNNNNNNNNNNNNNNNNNNNNNNNNNNNNNNNNNNNNNNNNNNNNNNNNNNNNNNNNNNNNNNNNNNNNNNNNNNNNNNNNNNNNNCCCGAACAACCAUGAUCGAUGGUCCUGGAGAAAAUACUAUUUUUUCAUGUUUUAAUGCAUAAAUCUCCGCGGAAAAAACAUGGAAAUAGUAAGCCGAAUGCCAAUGAAGAUCGACAUUAAUGGCGCUCAUGGACAGUAAUGAUGUAAUUAAUAAGAGGAAAGCGAGAUUCUAAAGUCAACGCUUGGUGGAUUCUACAGGAUUAAGCCACGAACAUUCUCAGAAUCUCCUAUUUUUUUGGAAAAAUCUUUAACAAUUCUGAAAGAUCGACAGAGGCGGCUUGAUUUAUUUGGUGAAUGCAUGAACCGUAAUGAUGGUCAAAUGCGGCCAGGAGGUGCGCUCCUUUCAUCUCGGACGAUCCGUUCUGGUCUCAGCGUCCACAGCCUCGUUGGCAUGAAGGUGGAAUAACAGAAAAUUGCCGUUAGCAAAAGAAAAUGGGUCAAAGAAGUUUUGCGCAGGUGGAAGUUGGCCCAGCCAGGGCGUUGUAGGAGUGCUUUCGUUUCGUCAGUCGACGCUCAUCGUGGAGAAACAGGUUGGUCUACAGCGGUGGUGGAGCCGACGGCGAAGAUUUCUCGGCGCCAGUCCAGAGUCAAGCGAGAGUCACCCCAUUUCUUCUCCCUCCGCACCCACCGCUUCCCUUCUUUGGGUCGUCCCUCCGCAGGACGACGACCACGGUCGACGGGGAGCCGACCAUAAAAAUAGCGCCAGCCGUCGUUGCAGUAAAGAACUUCCUCCCGGCAGCUGUCUUACUUCUCUGUCCCCCUCCCGCGUCUAUAUCAUC
rnacentral:lncRNA from 1 species